rnacentral:miRNA from 1 species
UGGUGUUGGAAGCCAGGCCCGGAG